CUGUUUCUAUAAUUCUGGUAAGUGUCCGUAACACAAUAGUUAUAACACUCCAUACAUUGAUUUCUGGGGGCAGAUUGCUGUAUACCAAGCUCCAGGAAGAUACUUCUUGAAACCGGAAGUGGAUACUGAAAGCUUCCUGAAAACUGCCCCUGAAAGUGGAAGGUACAAAAGUUUCUCCAGGCUGUUUGUUAUUUUGUUUUUGCCUUUUCUCUUUGAAUCCAAAUUGUAUCCGUCUUGGAGAGACAAAUCUGAUCUGCAUUUAGCACGAAUAGUCACAUUGAAGUCUCCCUAAGUACACUUGUAGGAGCAAAGAAACUUUCGACCGGAGAAAAACAUAGAAAACGUUUGUGAUACUAUUAAGCAAAAAUACCAUGACAUUUUCCCUCCAUUUUGAGCUGGAACAAUCUAGGAGCAUAUACAUGUUUUUGAUGUUCCAAAGGUUAAAAUAUAUUUUUGAAUUCGUCCUUUCUUUCGAUUUCCAAUUUAAAUGGUAUGAUGCUAACAUACAGAGAUCAUUUCUGUAUGUAUUUUCUUGGCCAUUCCCCCUUAUGGGGGGUGGGGGAGAGUAUUUCUGAUCAAGAGAUUUUUUUUUUGGUCUUCUAUAUCUGUUUCAUUUUCUUGAGCCGGGGAUCUAUCGGAAACAGCCUCUCUACCUCGUUAGAGGUAGUGGUAUGGACUGCGUACACUCUACCCUCCCCAGACCCCACUAUGUGGGAAUAUACUGGGUUUGUUGUUGUUGUUGUAUACAUGUGUAUAUGUUUUAUAAAUUUGUAUAUAACUAUAUAUAUAGUGUGUGUAUAUAUUGUAGUAUAUUUUAUUUAAAGUAGUAUGUAUUUAUUGAAUGGUACGUAUAUAUGUGUAUAUAUCUUCUAUGAACGUGUGUAUAUAUUGUAGUAUAUUUUUUUUAAGUAGAAUGCAUAUAUUGAAUGGUACGUAUAUAUGUGUAUAUAUCUUCUAUAGACGUAUAUAUUUAACGUAUACAUGUGUAUAUAUUUUAUAGAUUAGUAUAUAACUAUAUAUAUAAUGUGUAUAUAUUGUAGUAUAUUUAUUUAAAGUAGAAUGUAAGUAGAAUGUAUAUAUUGAAAUGGUACGUAUAUAUGUGUAUAUAUCUUCUAUGGACGUAUAUAUUUAACGCAUAUAUGUGUAUAUGUUUUAUAAAUUAGUAUAUAACUAUAUAUAUAGUGUGUGUAUAUAUUGUAGUAUAUUUUAUUUAAAGUAGUAUGUCUAUAUUGAAUGGUACGUAUAUAUGUGUAUACAUCUUCUAUAGACGUAUAUAAUUAAUGUGUACAUGUGUAUACAUAUACACUAUAUAUUUUAUAUGUGUACAUAUAUAUUGAAUGGUGUGUAUAUAUGUGUAUAUUUUCUAAAGUAGUAUAUAUUUAACGUAUACAAGUGUAUAUGUUUUAUAAAUUAGUAUAUAACUAUAUAUAUAGUGUGUGUAUAUAUUGUAGUAUAUUUUAUUUAAAGUAGUAUGUAUAUAUUGAAUGGUACGUAUAUAUGUGUAUAUAUCUUCUAUGGUACAUAUAUAUUACAUGUGUAAUUGUGUAUAUGUAUUAUAUGUAUAUAUCUUUUAAAUAGUAAUGUAGUAUAUACUAUACAUAUAGUAUAUAUCUAUUGUUUAACGUAUUGAAAAUGUAUAUAGAUGGGUAUAUAUAGUGUUUAUUGGAGAAAAAACUUUUAUUUUUUGGUUUUCGACCGGAUUUUUAAUCGAUUUUGAUCGGGUUUAGGUGGGUUGGACUGGGUUGGGUUAAGUGGGCCGAUUCAGGGUUGUUUUAAAAUUUUUUACUGUUGGGCCCAGAAUCGGACCAGCCCGUUUAACUAGGCUCGAAUCCGAACCGGCCCACAAAUCGAAUAAAAUUCACGGGCCGGUUUCGAGUUGACCCGGCUCGGCCCACUUAACACCCUUAGUAUGACAGGAAGUGUCAUUCUCUUGUUGGAUGGUAUGAAGUUGGUGAAAAUGAGUUGUUUGGUCCUGACUUAGUUUACCAGCCAUGGAGAAAGUGAAGAUGAUUCUGGAUAAACCGCUCAAAGUCGCCAAAAGUCCUAUGCAGAUGUGAGGCGUAGGGAGUUAGAGUUUGAGUUUAGUGAUUGGGUGUUCUUAAAGGUGUCUCCUAUGAAGGGGUGAUGCGAUUUAGUAAAAAAGGAAAGCUUAGUCCUCAUUAUGUUGGUCCGUACUUGGUUUUGAAGAGGGUUGGUAGUGUUGUGUAUGAGUUAGAGUUGCCUUCUAGUUGAGCUCUUCAUUCAUCCGGUAUUUCAUUUCUCGAUAUUAAGAAGGUGCGUGGGUGAUCCUUUGUCGAUUGUCCCUUUGGAGGGGUUGGGUAUUUUGGACUCCUUGUCUUAUGAGAAAGUCCAAUUGAAAUCUUGGAUCGACAAGUUCAUUGGUUGCGGACGAAGGAUGUGGUUUCAGUAAAGGUUCUUUAGAGGAACCACAAAGUUGAAGAGGCCACUUGGGAAGCUGAAGAGGACAUGAAGUCCAAGUAUCAGUUCUUGUUUCCCAUUCCGAAAAUCGUGCCCAAGGAAUAUGUUAUUCUUACCAUCUUUAUUUUCUAACUUUGUUAAAAGAAAGGGUGAUUUCCUUGGCAUCUUCGUUUUCUAACUUGGUUAAAGGUAAAAGUAAAGGUCUAUGGAGUCCAAUCGUGCUUAUGUUGCCUUGACCCAUCAUUCGAAGAUGAAUGAUCCAAGUUAGGGAGAAUGUAACGCCCCAAAUUUUUAGCCCUUGAAAAAUUCUUGUGCUUAGGGCUCACUCUCUUGGUCACGACUCGUGGUGAUAAGUUGUGAGAUGUGGUUACGGGUCAUAGGACCCUGGUCAUAACCAAAUUCAAAACUUAGUGGCAAAUUUCUGCUCUGAGUAUAAGUGGCUUACUAUGAGACGUGAGGAUAUGUUACGAGUUGUAGGUUCAAAUCAUAUGAUGUCCAGUGUUUAAUUAAUUUGGGUUUUGCGUAGCUUAUGACUAGACCUUACGAGUCGUAAGAUCUCAUUAUGAGUGGGUUGGCAGAGUCGUAAGGUAGGCAGUUUAUGGGGGCCCUAAUCACUAUUUUGGUUAAGGUAUGGUUACGAGUCAAGGGGUUGACUCAUAACUAAAGGCGACUUUUUUCAUCUUUUAAGUUGAGGACAUUCUAGACAUUUCCCCUCUUUCCCAACUUAAAACCCACGUCUUAUAACUUCUUUAGGACAUUAUUAGCUAUCAUAAACACAUCAAAUAAUCUCUUAGAAUACUCCUAAAUCCUCAAGGGUCAAGAACACUUAGGGUUUUCAUGAAGCUAUUCAGUUGGGACUUUCAAGGAUAAUUUCUCUACGUACUUCUUGGUGAUUAAGGCAUGUUACUCUUCCCUCAUUGUUAUUUUAUUAAAAAGCACAUGUUUUAAGGUAUAACUUUUAUGGUAUUGUUAUGGUUUUGAAACAAAGAUUGGGGGGUUUUGAAUGCUUGUGGUUGAAUGAUGUUUUCCUAUGGUUUAAUUGUGAUUAUUCACGCUUUAAAUAUGGUUUUGAACAUGUGGGUGCAUGGGUAUUGUGAAUGAACUUAUAAAUUGUGAUUUCUUAAACUUGCGACUCUUCAACCGUCCAUGACCCCAACCCUGUAUGGUGAAACUGGUUUUCAGUUAUAAGAAAUAUGGGAAUUGAAUUGUGGCAUUAUGAUGUUGAAUUGAACCUUAUGGAACUAUGUUUUUACAAACUAUGGCUUUAAUGAACUAAAGGAGGUCGAGGUAUUCCUCCAAAUUGAUUUUAUGAACUAAAAUGGGGUGUGGCGUUCCCCCAAGUUAAACAUGAUUGUUAUGGCAUAGAGUUAAACUUGCAAGUGAAGGGUAUGGCGAUACCCCUGUAUGACUUAACAGUUGGUUCAUUGAUCAAUAAUUGAAAUUAUGUGCAGCUUGUUUUAAAUUAGCUUAAUGGGAAUUAUAUAGCAAUGUUGAGAAGGUGUGGGUCUUGCAUGACUUGUACUGGGAACUCGUGUUUACCGACAUAAGUUUUGGUCUUGAUGACCUGUGUGCAUGAGUCACACUUGAUAUAUGUUGGGAUGGAUAAUUGCCUAGAUGGCUUAGCUUUCCCUCAGAUUUUAUCUGGAACGUGUGGCUAACACGCACCGGGGCCCUUUCAACAGGGGGAGCUAUACCCAUAUAGCCCGUGAGUGCCUAUUAUGACGGUUGAGCUACAUAGUCCAGGAUAAAGUUUCCCUUCAUGAUUAAACUUGUUCCCUAUACCGGCAUUAUAUAUAUAUAUAAUUGCAUAUGGUUAUGUACAAUGGUUUGACUUGAUUUUGAAUUGAUGGCAUUACUUUAUCUUUAUCUUUAAGUACAUGCUAAUGUUCACCCCACUAACCGUCUCCGAGCGCUGCAUCCCCACGCGAUGUAGGUGCCGGAGCAAUUUUUACUUUCCCUGCGCAGAGUUAGGUGGAUCAGUCCAGUUCGUUAGUCUUUGAUGGUGAAGUGGUGAGCUUCCAUUUCUCCGAAAGACUUAGUCAUUUCAUCCGUUUCUUUCCAUAAUUUAGAAAUGAAGAGUUCACAUUGUCAUUGUCAGAGUCGGGGGCAUGCCCCAACUUUUUAUUGGUACUCAUUUGGUAGAGGCUUUGUUUGGACUACUGUGGACAUGGGUGGUAUGAUUUGGUUUGGUUAGACUAGUAUAAUGUCUUUAAGAUUGAAUUUUCUUAUCUUGUUAUAUGUUCAGAAUUCAUCCGGCAAGGGGUGUACGGUAUAGACGGUGGUUUGGGUAUUUGGGGGUAGUCUCUAGUCCUUAUUGGACUUGAGAUACCCGUCACGGCCAGGCCCUGGUUCGGGUCAUGACCCCUAAGACUUGUCUCAUAUUAAAUCUUAUCCAUAUUUGUUGCCUUGAAUUGGUAGUUUGAUUAGAUUUUGGCAAAACAACUUUCCACCCCACCCCACCCCCAUUUUAGUUCAUGUAUUUCAUUUUGUUUACAUUACGGGUAUCUAUUUAGUAGCUAUUAACAACCAUAGGAUUUGGAGACUAAUUCCACUCCUUGAGGAUUCGACCCAAACUAACAUUAGGUUAAUAACUUGACAAAAAUCGCCUUACCCAUUAAUCAUGAAGUGGGUUGAGAGUUAUCAAUAGGGUUGCUGCCCUUGUGAAAGAACGUCAACUCAAUGGCUCUCUUUUCUCUCAUCCUAAACUUUUGACCUAAUUCUCACAAUGACCAAUCAACCAAUUCUGGCAACUGGCCUACUGGCUCCAAUGGCUUACCAAAACCUACUAACCCUUUUUCAAUUCCCACCUCUCCCUUCCAAGAACAUUCAUGAGCCUUCCACGUACAAUACUAGCGCUAACAAAAUCCAAAAAGAUGAAGCAUCCCCAAAGAAAUAUUUUGGUGCACUUUUUAACAUUGAAUAUGAUAAUGGAGUACCAAUGGUAACGUGAACUCAAGCUGAGGUCAAUCGCAUGAACAUUAUAGAACAUCUCCAAUAUUCUAUUAUUGGAAAAUUCUCUUUCAAUUGGCCUAGCAUUGAAGAUCUAAGGAAAGCAGUUCCUUCACAGUGUAGUAUCAAAGCUGACUGUCGCAUAGAGUAUUGCGAAAUAAACAUAUUCUUAUUAGAUGUGUCCUAGUAGAAGAUUUCGUUAAUGUGAUGUCUAGAACCUCGUAUUAUAUCAAGGACAAGAAUGACCAAGAUUUUCAGAUGUGUUCUUUGAUUUAUGAUGCAAAGUUCAAGGUGAAUAAGGAAACUACGCAAGCUAUGACAUGGAUUUCAUUCCCUAUUCUACUGCUUACCUUUUCUGUUAAAAACACACUUUUUACAAUAGCUUUAGCGUAGGAAAGUCAUUGCAAUUAGAUAUGGCCACCCAAUAAAACCAGACCUAAUUAUGCUAGGGUCAAGGUUUAGGUCGACCUAUUAUCUACGCUCCUUCAUUCGAUGAAAAUGAAAAUCAAAGAUGAUAAAUCAGGAAGUGAGAGCACAGAAACUAUCAAGAUACAAUAUGAUCUGCUCCUUAAAUUUGUACCAAUUGUAAUUUUCAAGGACAUAACACAAGUAUUGUAGAAUGUUACAACCGGAACUAAGACAACAAAUGCAAGGCAACAAUGAUGAAGGCACACAAUCUCUAGUAGAGAGAUCACCUCAGAAACAAAAGAAGUCCAAAACAUUUCUUCCAAGGAGACAGAUAAGCGGCAAAAUAGUUGGUGAUCUACAGGUUUGGAAAGAAAAAGAAAAUAUCAUACAAGACAUAAAACAUAAUAACAUGAAGGCAAUGUACAACAAAUCUGAUGAUGAUUAGAAAAUUGCAACCAAAAUUAAAUUUGAUACAUUGACAGACUUGAAUCGUGAACAGGGAGAAAGAAAAGAUAAUCAAGACAUAGGAGAACUUUCCGAUAAGCAACAUGUGAAGAUGGAUAGCUUUGGUGAUAAUGAUAAUACACAGGAGCUACAAAAUAAAGAUGCAAGAAAAGAAGUUCAAUAAGUAGACAUUCAACGCACCACGGAAGAAAAGUGACUGCAACAGUAGCAACAAUGGAGGAAAAGGUGAGAGGACAAGGGCUUGGGUGGAAGGAGUUUUUGAAAAAUCAUCCCAACAAAGAUCUAGGAAGUGGAGAGAUAGGGUAGAAUAGGAGGAUGGGAUAGAGGAUGAAGAAGUGGGAUCGUAUAAUAGCUUAUGUGAAGGGAAGAAAAUGGGCACAAAAUCUUUUAAUGCUAUUAUAUUAGCACCAGAUAUUGUUACAACUAUUAAAGAUUUGCAAUCAUAUGAGAAUUUGGUUGAAUAUUAUCCACCAAAAAAAGGAGCAUGCAGCCAUAACAAAUGAUGAAGCCAGGGUUCCACUUGAAAGUAAUGAUAUUCAAACGACAAAAUAUCCUAAUAGGAAGUUGUAAGGAAUUGUUACUCAUUCUUCAAGAGAAGAAGAGGUAGAAAAGGAAAAAUUAAAAAAAAGGAGGACGUAGUUCAAAUAAUUCUCCCAAACAAAAAGGAGGCAAAAGAGGUAGUAAAGAAGGAAAUACAGAACUGCAACAGUCUAAUGUGAGACUGGCCAGAAGUGUUGACACUAAAUUUAAUAGCAUGUGAUGAUUAAAGUCAUUUUUUGAAAUAUCAAAUCAGUGAGAACACAUCAAGCUUUUCAUAGGGUACAAAUGCCUUAUAGGCAUCAUAAGUUUACAUUGAUUGCACUAUUGUAGCCUAUUCAAAGACUAACUCAAAUUAACAAAUACAAAAGGAGACAAGGAAUGAAAAAUAAAGGUAGUAAUUGCAAUGUGAAAAUCUAGUACUUUGUAGAAUAUAAUGUGGACGUUGAAGCGGCUAUGGAUACAGGCCAACAAAUUACUUUAAAGCUUUUGUUACGGGAUUCAAAUAAGCAAUGUUAUACCUCUAUUGUAUAUGCUCAAUGCAUUGAGAGGGCAAGGUUAACUUUGUGGGACAAUAUUUAUCAAUUAUCUAAUAACAUGGAGCUACCAUGGUUUGUGGAAGGAGAUUUCAAUAUUAUUUUAAAUGAAAAGGAGAAACUAGGAGGUUUUUCUGUUCUCCCCCAAGAAGGGGAAGAUUUUGCUGUUUUGCAUCAACUCAUGUGAGCGGCAAGAGGUGAAUUACACAGGUAACCCUUUUACAUGGUGGAAUGGUAGAGUAGGGGAAGAUUUCAUUUUUAAAAGACUUGAUAGAGUUGUCAUCAAUAAACUCUGGCAAUGGUUUGAAGGAAUGGAAAUGGAACACUUAUGCAGAACAAGUUUAGAUCAUGCUUCAUUAUUGAUUACUAUGACGAAUAAAGGUAAAAUUUUCCAUAAACCUUUUAAAUUUUUUGAAGUUUUGUGCAGAUAAUGAAGGCUUUAUGGGGGUAGUGAGACAAAACUAGACUGCAGAUAAUGAGGGCAAUUGUUUUUACCAGUUUAAUCAGAAGGUUCAAAAAAGCACUGACUAUUUGGAGAAAGGAAACAUAUGGUGAUAUUUUCAAGUAUAUACUAAUCAGAGAAGAGACAAAAAAGAUUAAGAAGCAGUUGUUUAAUGAUGUUCUUGAUGCUGAGAAUAGGAUGGUUAUGCACCAGGCUCAAGCUGAACUCAAAAAAUACUGGCACUAUGAGGAAGAAUUUUGGAGGCAAAAAGCCAGUAUUACUUGAUACUCAGGAAGGUGACAAAAAUAUUAGUUCAUUUCGCAAUCUAGUUAUGGGCAAGAGAAAGAGGUUGCAAUCAAAAGUAUUCAGAAUGAAGAAGGGCAGUAGUUACAAGAUGAGGGACAUGAAGCUAAUGAGGCUAUCGAUUUUAUCAGAAGCAAUUCACUCAAGAGGAGGAGGCUAAUGAUUUCUCAAUUAUUAAUCAUGUGCCAGAAUUAAUUAGUAGAGAACACAAUGAGUUGAUGUGCAGGAAGCCAGAGUUGGAGGAAGAAAAGAAGGCUGUUUUUAAUCUACAGGGUUUCGUACUAGUCGUCCAGAUGGACUAAUAGGUUUAUUCUAUCAAAAAUAUUGGGAUAUAGUGGGAGGAGAUGUAUUUACGCUAGUUGAAGCUUUUUUUUUUUUGCAGGAAACCUAUUACUCAUACAAAUCUGGUGCUAUUACCAAAAAAGACUACCAUCCAGAUAUUUGCAGAUUUGAUACCUAUAAGCUCGAGUAAUUUUAUUGAUAAAGUUAUUUCUAGAGUGGUACAUGAUAGAUUAGAAGAUGUACUGUCUCUAAUUAUUUCUCCCAAUCAAUCAGAUUUUGUGAAAGAAAAAGCAUAAUAGAGAAUGUACUACUGACACAGGAAAUCAUCACUGACCUAAGGAAGAGAGGAAAGCCAAAUAAUAUUGUAAUAAAGCUGGAUAUGUCCAAAGCUUAUGAUAGAGUUUCUUGGCUGUACCUUUGUAAAGUUUUGAGAAAAUUGGGAUUUGAUGAAAUUUUUAUUGACAUGAUUUGGAGAUUACUAGCUAACAACUGGUAUUCUAUUUUGUUGAACGAGCAAACUCAAGGAUUUUUUCAUUCAACCAAGGGAGUGAGGCAAGGAGAUCCUUUAUCUCUAGUCCUUUUUAUCAUUUUAGCUGAAGUUUUGUCUAGAGCUUUGAAUUCUCUGACGGAGUCAGCGAAUUACCAAGGAUUUGAUAUGCUUAAGUGGAGUACCAAAAUUAAUCACCUAACUUAUGCAGAUGACACAAUUAUUUUCACCUCUGCAGAAACAAGUUUGUUAGGAAUGAUUAAAGAGGUUUUACAUGGGUAUGAGAAGGUGUCCGGUUAGUUAAUAAAUACAGAGAAAUCUUCUUUCUAUAUGUAUUAGAAGAUUCAAGAGGUUUUGCUUUAGGAGGUAGCUGACAUCACUGAUUUAAAAGAGGUGUUUUUCCUUUUAACUAUCUGGGUUGUCCCAUUUUUCAUGCUAGAAAGAAGAAAGUAUAUUAUAAUGAUCUAAUCAAGAAUAUCAAAGAUAGGCUACAAAAUUGGAACAAAAAACUUUUGUCAUUUGAAGGUAAAGCUGUAUUGAUUAACAAUGUGCUUCAGAGUAUGCCAAUUUAUCUGUUGUCUGUAAUGGCACCUACUAAGUACACUUUAAAUGAAAUUCAUAAAAUCUUUUCUAGAUUUUACUGGAUCAACAAGGAAGAAGGGAGAAGUAAGCACUGGUCAACAUGGUUGAAAAUCUACCUUUCUAAACAGGAAGGGGGCAUAGGCUUCAGGUCUUUAUUUGAUGUUUUCAAAUUCUUUUUUGCCAAAUUUUGGUGAAAGUUCAGAACUACAACAAUAAUGUGAAAAAAUUUCAUGUGAAAUAAAAUAUUGUAAAAAGUACUAACAAUGGUGAACUGGAAAGGGGGGUCAUAACUUUCGAAGAAAAUGUUGGAGGUUAGGGAUGAAAUAGAAUCCAAUAUUUGGUGGGAACCUAGAAAUGGUAAUGCAAACUUUUGGUUUGACAACUGGACUAGGUUGGAUCCUCUGAUUCAUCUCAUGCCCUCAAAUCAAAGAGACUUGAGAUUUGAAGAGGUAAAUCAUUUCAUGAAGGAAGUUUUGUGGAAUAAAAAUUUGCUCAGGCAUAACUUACCAUCUUAUCUGGUUGAGCAUAUCAUGACAGAAUUGCCCAAGAAAGGGAAAAAUAUAGCUUGUGAUAAACCAUGGUUUCUAGGCAUAAGCAAUGGAAAUUUUACUGUUAAGUCCUCUUGGGAAAUAUGUAGGCAAAGGGAAGAGACACAGGGGUUUUUUCACAAGAUAUGGACAGUUGGAUUACCUUAUAAAAUCUCUUUUUUCUUAUGGAGGGUGUGGAAGAAGAAACUACUUGUUGAUGAUGUUCUAGCUUCGAUGAUGAUCAAUAUUGUCUCAAGAUAUAGGUGUUAUGAACAACCUCAUCAGGAAAACCUAAUUCACUUUUUCCUGAAUGGAGAUUUUGCUAGAGAUAUUUGGAAUGUUUUACAGGGAUAGCAGGAGCACAAGGUUCGUUCAUACAAGUAAAUCAGGCAAUCACAAUGGUGGAAAAAAGAUUGUGCACCUAACUUGAAAUCGAUAUAUCAAGCUGCACAGCAGUGAUAUUAUGGCAAUUAUGGAAGAGGAGGAGCAAGUUAGUUCAUGGGGGAACAAUGUCAAGGAAUAAAGUGAUUUAUGACAUCAAUCAAAAUUUGUAUCUUCUUCCGAAGAUCAAAUUCCUUAGAUCACAGAUAUUCCUAAUAAUUGGGCUAUUUAAUUCUAAAACUGGAGACAUAUAUGCAACAAAUACAAUGCAAGUUUAUAAACUAGCAGUUGUCCUUAAAGGGUACUUUUAAAUAUAACACUGAUGCUUCAUCUAAAGAUAACCCUGGACCUAGUUCAAUAGCAUUUUGCAUUAGAGAUUGGAGUGGCGACCUCAAUUAUGCAAGGAUAACAAGAAUAUCCAACACUACUAGCCUCCAAGCAGAAGCUAUGGCUAUUCUAGAUGCUAUUGAGUAUUAUGUGACACACCAUAUGAUGCCUCUGAUUAUUGAAACAGACUCCCUGAUAAUGAAAAAAGUGAUAGAAGGGGAAUGAGGUAGUCCUUGGUCUAUCAGUAUGAUUGCACAAAUAAUUAUGGAGUGGAAGAAAAAGGGCGAAGUGUGUGUCUCACAUGUACUAAGGGAAGGAAAUCAACUAGCCGACUAUUUAACUAACAAGUUUGAUGAUUUUGCAAGUACUAUUCACUUUCAUAAUGAAGAAGAUCUACCAAUAGAAACAAGAAGAAUUAUCCAUGCAGACAAAAUUCAGAUGCCUAAUUUGUGUUUGCAAGAAAGAGAACCAGACUAGACCAUUUCACAAUCAAAGUAAAAAGGCAACAGUAGAGCAAACAACAUACAUCUAGAAAUAAAGUUCACAAUUUCAAUGGUAAAAACAUCAAGCCAAUUGAUACAGUUUACAACGAUUCAAGAUGUCAUAAGUUUAUCGCAAAUUCAACACAUCCAAAAAUAUAAAGGUAUAAUUGAGUAGAUUUUCUAGCGGUGGCAUCAAUCUUCUUGAAGGUUCAACCCACUGAAGGAAAAGUUGAUUUUACCAAAAGAUUUUCUAAUUUGUGUUUCUAUAGUUCUAUUCCUAGAAAAUCUUGAUUACGGAUCUUACCUGAGGGCGUAAUAGCUCAUGCUAUCCUCGAACAAGUUGAAGAAGUCUUCAUUUGGGACAGAUCUCACAGCAUCUGGUGAGAGCAUUGGGGUGUCUUGAGUGGAAUCUACCAAAACUUGUCAACAGUCUAUAACUGAGUUUAGUAGCUCAAAAGAAUCUAAAUGGUCAGAGGUUAAUGUAGAUAGACUCACAUUAGUGCACUUCAUCACCUUUAUUUUGAUGUCUGAUGUCUCAAGUGACAGAUGUUAAUUUCGUUGAUGGUGAAAGAGAGUCUCGGGGUUUUGGACUUAAAAGUUUUAAAAUGGGAGUACUUGAGUGGAG
rnacentral:lncRNA from 1 species